AUGGAGAAAGCACAGAGAAAGGAAGGAUUAUUCACAAAGUUGAUUAAAAUCACUCAAGAUGCUCCUCCUCAGCUCUGCUGCCUCAAAUUUUUUCAAAUGCUUCAAAAGUCUUACUCUCUGGGAUUAGGAGCCAUCUCGAAGAGGUGGGUCCGCCAUUUUCCUGGAAGAGAAGAUGCCCAAUGGAAUACCACCCACGGACUCUUAUCUUGAAGUAUACAGCGACUUUCUUUUGUUUUGGAUUCUGACCUAAGAAUAGUAUCAUUUAACCUACACUGAACCCUAUUCAAUAUGUCAAACAUUAAUACUUUAAAGGGUCAAACUGGUUCAAGCAAAUCAAAUAUUAUGUGGAAACAGAGUCAUUGGGUGGGGGAAAGCCUUCAUCAGUGUCAUUAACAAGUAGAUCCAAUCAUUCCCCCAUUAGCAGGCAGGGAUGGGGCUAAUAAGUGGAUAGGUGAAACUGAGGAGCCAUGGACAGUGUGCCUCCGACCUUCUAGUUGUUUUGCUUCAAGUUACCUAACCAGAAGAUACUUUCAGCGGUCAGUUUAUUUUGGGGUUCAGGAUGUGAGCACAGGAAAUGGCCAGAAAAACAGUGGCUCAGUAUAGACAGAAAGACAAUUAAAACUGAUAUGACUCUUAACAGAAGUGGCAAGAGCAGGCAGGAUGGAAGUAAUUUAUUCAACGAAUUGUCCAAAUACAUAAAACCACACUGAUGUAUGGUGCAGCAGUGGGACAGUGGAAAAUUUGAUCGUUGUUUCCGUUGUGUGAAUUACUCAGGCAGGAUGCCUUUGUGAAGUAUGGGGGUUUGUUUAAUGUUCUGACAACAAUUUAGAUCCUGUUAUGGUUAUUGCAGUGUAAUGCAGUAGUAAAAAUUGAACAUGACACACCAGCAAUUUAUUAUUUGUGUGUUUUUUAACCUUGAGUAUCGGAUUGUUUGUCCAAGCAUAUCCUUUGAUUUGCUAUGAAAUUUAUUGUUGAUAAAAACAAUCAGAUUUCCAUUAGAAGCAAAAAAAUUCAUUUUUUUUUGCCAUGAACCAUAGAUUUAGAAAAAAAAUUCAAACUAGGCUCCAGGACUUAUGAC
rnacentral:lncRNA from 1 species